UACGAAGGGUGCAAGCGUUAAUCGGAAUUACUGGGCGUAAAGGGUGCGUAGGCGGUUGUUUAAGUCUGUCGUGAAAUCCCCGGGCUCAACCUGGGAAUGGCGAUGGAAACUGGGCAGCUAGAGUGUGUCAGAGGAUGGUGGAAUUCCCGGUGUAGUGGUGAAAUGCGUAGAGAUCGGGAGGAACACCAGCGGCGAAGGCGGCUCGCUGGGCCGGUCCUGACGCUGAGACGCGAAGGCGUGGGGAGCGAACGGG
rnacentral:rRNA from 1 species